GACGAACGCUGGCGGCGUGCUUAACACAUGCAAGUCGAACGGAAAGGCCCUGCUUGCAGGGUGCUCGAGUGGCGAACGGGUGAGUAACACGUGAGUGAUCUGCCCCUUACUUUGGGAUAAGCCUGGGAAACUGGGUCUAAUACUGGAUAGGACCAUGCUGUAGGUGGUGUGGUGGAAAGAUUAGUUUCGGUAAGGGAUGAGCUCGCGGCCUAUCAGCUUGUUGGUGGGGUAAUGGCCUACCAAGGCGUCGACGGGUAGCCGGCCUGAGAGGGUGGACGGCCACAUUGGGACUGAGAUACGGCCCAGACUCCUACGGGAGGCAGCAGUGGGGAAUAUUGCACAAUGGGCGCAAGCCUGAUGCAGCGACGCCGCGUGGGGGAUGACGGCCUUCGGGUUGUAAACUCCUUUCAGCCAUGACGAAGCCUUCGGGUGACGGUAGUGGUAGAAGAAGCACCGGCUAACUACGUG
rnacentral:rRNA from 1 species